GACGAACGCUGGCGGCGUGCUUAACACAUGCAAGUCGAACGGAAAGGCCCCUUUGGGGGUACUCGAGUGGCGAACGGGUGAGUAACACGUGAGUAACCUUCCCUUGACUUCGGGAUAACUUCAGGAAACUGGGGCUAAUACCGGAUAGGAAUCCUUGCUGCAUGGUGGGGGUUGGAAAGCUUCGGCGGUUUUGGAUGGACUCGCGGCUUAUCAGCUUGUUGGUGGGGUAGUGGCUUACCAAGGCUUUGACGGGUAGCCGGCCUGAGAGGGCGACCGGCCACAUUGGGACUGAGAUACGGCCCAGACUCCUACGGGAGGCAGCAGUGGGGAAUAUUGCACAAUGGGCGGAAGCCUGAUGCAGCAACGCCGCGUGCGGGAUGACGGCCUUCGGGUUGUAAACCGCUUUCAGCAGGGGCGAAGCUUUUGUGACGGUACCUGCAGAAGAAGCACCGGCUAACUACGUG
rnacentral:rRNA from 1 species